GAUGAACGCUGGCGGUGUGCCUAAUACAUGCAAGUCGAGCGAACAGACGAGGAGCUUGCUCCUCUGACGUUAGCGGCGGACGGGUGAGUAACACGUGGAUAACCUACCUAUAAGACUGGGAUAACUUCGGGAAACCGGAGCUAAUACCGGAUAAUAUAUUGAACCGCAUGGUUCAAUAGUGAAAGACGGUUUUGCUGUCACUUAUAGAUGGAUCCGCGCCGCAUUAGCUAGUUGGUAAGGUAACGGCUUACCAAGGCAACGAUGCGUAGCGGACCUGAGAGGGUGACCGGCAGCACUGAAACUGAGACAGCCUCAAGCGUCCGGGGGGUGGCAGAAGGAGGGAAUUUUCUCGAGUGGGGAAAAGCCUGAUGCAGCCACGCCGGGUGUGUGAGAAAGGUCUGCGGAAUGUAAAAAAGUUUUUUUGGGAAAAAAAAAAGGGAAAAAAACAUAUCCGCUUAUGAAGGUUCACAAACAGAAAGCCCCCGACAAACUCGGUC
rnacentral:rRNA from 1 species